rnacentral:rRNA from 1 species
AUUGAACGCUGGCGGCAUGCUUUACACAUGCAAGUCGAACGGCAGCACAGCAGAGGUAACUCUGUGGGUGGCGAGUGGCGAACGGGUGAGUAAUACAUCGGAACGUACCCCUGUUGUGGGGGAUAACUACGCGAAAGCGUAGCUAAUACCGCAUACGCCCUGAGGGGGAAAGCGGGGGACCCUAAAUAGAGCGCACUGGGGAGUGCGUUGUAUUUAGGGCCUCGCGCAAUAGGAGCGGCCGAUGUCGGAUUAGCUAGUUGGUGAGGUAAAGGCUUACCAAGGCGACGAUCCGUAGCUGGUCUGAGAGGAUGAUCAGCCACACUGGGACUGAGACACGGCCCAGACUCCUACGGGAGGCAGCAGUGGGGAAUUUGGACAAUGGGGGCAACCCUGAUCCAGCCAUGCCGCGUGAGUGAAGAAGGCCUUCGGGUUGUAAAGG